rnacentral:rRNA from 1 species
AACGCGAAGAACCUUACCUGGGCUUGACAUCCUCUGAUCAUCUAGGAGACUAGGUUUCCGGGCAACCGGACAGAGAGACAGGUGCUGCAUGGCUGUCGUCAGCUCGUGCCGUGAGGUGUUGGGUUAAGUCCCGCAACGAGCGCAACCCUUGUCGUGUGUUGGUCCACAAGAUCUCUCACACGAGACCGCCGGUGACAAGCCGGAGGAAGGUGGGGAUGACGUCAAGUCAGCAUGGCCUUUAUGUCCAGGGCUACACACGUGUUACAAUGCGCGCCACAAAGCGUCGCGAACCCGCGAGGGGGAGCUAAUCGCAAAAAAGCGCGCUCAGUUCGGAUUGCAGUCUGCAACUCGACUGCAUGAAGCCGGAAUCGCUAGUAAUGGCGCAUCAGAACGGCGCCGUGAAUACGUUCCCGGGCCUUGUACACACCGACAUA